GACGUAGGGCGCGAGCGUUGUCCGGAUUUAUUGGGCGUAAAGAGCUCGUAGGCGGCUUGUCGCGUCGACUGUGAAAACUUGGGGCUCAACCCCGAGCCUGCAGUCGAUACGGGCAGACUAGAGUGCGGUAGGGGAGACUGGAAUUCCUGGUGUAGCGGUGAAAUGCGCAGAUAUCGGGAGGAACACCAAUGGCGAAGGCAGCUUGCUGGGACGGUACUGACGCUGAGGCGCGAAAGCGUGGGGAGCAAACAGG
rnacentral:rRNA from 1 species